rnacentral:rRNA from 1 species
AGCGAACGCUGGCGGCAGGCUUAACACAUGCAAGUCGAACGAGACCUUCGGGUCUAGUGGCGCACGGGUGCGUAACGCGUGGGAACCUGCCCUUAGGUUCGGAAUAACUCCCCGAAAGGGGUGCUAAUACCGGAUAAUGUCUUCGGACCAAAGAUUUAUCGCCUUUGGAUGGGCCCGCGUUGGAUUAGCUAGUUGGUAGGGUAAAAGCCUACCAAGGCGACGAUCCAUAGCUGGUCUGAGAGGAUGAUCAGCCACACUGGGACUGAGACACGGCCCAGACUCCUACGGGAGGCAGCAGUGGGGAAUAUUGGACAAUGGGCGAAAGCCUGAUCCAGCAAUGCCGCGUGAGUGAUGAAGGCCUUAGGGUUGUAAAGCUCUUUUACCCGGGAUGAUAAUGACAGUACCGGGAGAAUAAGCUCCGGCUAACUCCGUG